rnacentral:rRNA from 1 species
UACGAAGGGGGCUAGCGUUGCUCGGAAUCACUGGGCGUAAAGCGCACGUAGGCGGCUUUUUAAGUCGAGGGGUGAAAUCCUGGAGCUCAACUCCAGAACUGCCUUUGAUACUGAGAAGCUUGAGUCCGGGAGAGGUGAGUGGAACUGCGAGUGUAGAGGUGAAAUUCGUAGAUAUUCGCAAGAACACCAGUGGCGAAGGCGGCUCACUGGCCCGGUACUGACGCUGAGGUGCGAAAGCGUGGGGAGCAAACAGG